GCCAGGUGUGGUGGCACACACCUGUAAUCCCAGCGGUUUGGGAGGCUGAGGCAGGAAGAUCAUGAGUUCAAAGCCAGCCUCAGCAAAAGCAAGGCACUAAGCAACUCAGUGAGACCCUGUCUCUA
rnacentral:sRNA from 1 species